GCAUUGCUGAGGAGUCCCAUAAUAGGACGAAAUGGCCGUAAAAUGU
rnacentral:hammerhead_ribozyme from 1 species